rnacentral:rRNA from 1 species
UACAGAGGUCCCAAGCGUUGUUCGGAUUCACUGGGCGUAAAGGGUGCGUAGGUGGUCGGGUAAGUCUGAGGUGAAAUCUCCGAGCUCAACUCGGAAACUGCCUUGGAUACUAUCCGGCUUGAGGGUUGGAGGGGGGACUGGAAUUCUCGGUGUAGCAGUGAAAUGCGUAGAUAUCGAGAGGAACACCAGUGGCGAAGGCGAGUCCCUGGACAACUCCUGACGCUGAGGCACGAAAGCGUGGGGAGCAAACAGG